UACGUAGGUGGCAAGCGUUGUCCGGAAUUAUUGGGCGUAAAGCGCGCGCAGGCGGUCCUUUAAGUCUGAUGUGAAAGCCCUCGGCUCAACCGAGGAAGGUCAUUGGAAACUGGAGGACUUGAGUGCAGAAGAGGAAAGUGGAAUUCCAAGUGUAGCGGUGAAAUGCGUAGAUAUCGGGAGGAACACCGGUGGCGAAGGCGGCGACCUGGGUAGAUACUGACGCUGAGGCGCGAAAGCGUGGGGAGCAAACAGG
rnacentral:rRNA from 1 species